GCUGUAGCCCAGGGGUAGAGCACACCUGCCUUGCAUGUGGAAGGUCCCGGGUUCAAUCCCCGGCGUCUCCA